rnacentral:rRNA from 1 species
UACGUAGGGUCCGAGCGUUGUCCGGAAUUACUGGGCGUAAAGCGCGCGCAGGCGGCCCGCGAGGUGUCACGUGAAAGCCCCGGGCUCAACCCGGGAGGGUCGUGGCAAACCGGCGGGCUUGAGGCCGGUAGAGGUGGGUGGAACUCCUGGUGGAGUGGUGAAAUGCGUAGAGAUCAGGAAGAACACCCGUGGCGAAGGCGGCCCACUGGGCCGGUACUGACGCUGAGGCGCGAAGGCGUGGGGAGCGAACGGG